rnacentral:rRNA from 1 species
UAAGGAAUAUUGCGCAAUGGGCGAAAGCCUGACGCAGCGACGCCGCGUGGGGGAUGAAGGUCUUCGGAUUGUAAACCCCUUUCGGGAGGGAAGAUGGGAUGGGGUAACCCAUUCGGACGGUACCUCCAGAAGCAGCCACGGCUAACUUCGUGCCAGCAGCCGCGGUAAUACGAAGGUGGCAAGCGUUGUUCGGAUUUACUGGGCGUACAGGGAGCGUAGGCGGUUGGAUAAGCCCUCCGUGAAAUCUCCAGGCUUAACCUGGAAAGUGCAGAGGGGACUGUUCAGCUAGAGGAUGGGAGAGGAGCGCGGAAUUCCCGGUGUAGCGGUGAAAUGCGUAGAGAUCGGGAGGAAGGCCGGUGGCGAAGGCGGCGCUCUGGAACAUUUCUGACGCUGAGGCUCGAAAGCGUGGGGAGCAAAC